ACCUGAACCAGAUAGGAGCAGGCAUCCCGAUGUAAAAUCGGGAUAAAGCGGAUAGCUCCAAAGGAG
rnacentral:misc_RNA from 1 species